rnacentral:rRNA from 1 species
UACGUAGGGUGCGAGCGUUGUCCGGAAUUACUGGGCGUAAAGAGUUCGUAGGUGGUUUGUCGCGUUGUUCGUGAAAACUCACAACUCAAUUGUGGGCGUGCGGGCGAUACGGGCAGACUGGAGUACUGCAGGGGAGACUGGAAUUCCUGGUGUAGCGGUGGAAUGCGCAGAUAUCAGGAGGAACACCGGUGGCGAAGGCGGGUCUCUGGGCAGUAACUGACGCUGAGGAGCGAAAGCGUGGGGAGCGAACAGG